UUACUUUCUAUAAUCAAACUUUUAUGUGUCAAAUCGUUUGAAAAAAUGGGAAAUAAUUCAAAAAGAGAAUUUAUACAUUUAUGGUAAUUCUCAGAAGUGCUUAGGCACGACAGGCAACUACUAUGAAGCAUCAACUAUAAACGAUCCAACAAUGAUGUGUUUGAAGAACUUAAGAACUUUUAAUCGAACAUAGCUAAAACAGACUGCAGCAAAUAGUUGAGAUACUUCAAGGGGCAACUCUUCGCAUAUGAUACGAGUAGCUGCUGCACGGAUUCCCAAAUGGAGCGCACAAUAAAAUUAAAGUUCGUAUGGCGAUAAAAAUAAAAAAUAAAUUAACCAACAGCGCAGCAACAAAGGCCGAGCCAUAAGAAAAAAUAUA